rnacentral:rRNA from 1 species
GACAGAGGAGGCAAGCGUUGUUCGGAAUCAUUGGGCUUAAAGCGGGUGUAGGCGGCUGCGCAAGUGUCUUGUGAAAGCCCCCGGCUCAACCGGGGAAUUGCUGGGCAAACUGCGUAGCUUGAGGUCGGUAGGGGUGCCUGGAACUCUAGGUGGAGCGGUGAAAUGCGUAGAUAUCUAGAGGAACGCCAGAGGCGAAAGCGGGGCACUGGGCCGAUUCUGACGCUGAGAUCCGAAAGCGUGGGGAGCAAACAGG